AGUAAGUCACAUGAACACGAACACGAUCAAUCAUUUGUCAAAAACCUGUAAGAUCAGAUCCCUGUUCACUAGUUACCCAUCUGCUUGGAUAGCAGAUUCACUUUCUCUUCUCCUCGUAAAACCUAUACGUAUCCUCAGUUCACUAGUCGCACUCUUCUUCUUCUUUCGUCAACACUCGCAAACGUCUCUCUUUUUACGUGGAGUCGCAAGACUGCUAAGUAACUCUCUCUUUUCUCUGCUUCAGC
rnacentral:lncRNA from 1 species